rnacentral:rRNA from 1 species
UGAUUCAUCCCGCCACGCCUUCUUUGAUAUAGAAGGCGAUUGGUUUUUGAUCUAAUAAAUCCCGCUGCCUUCUAGGGGUGUUUUGUUUCGCUCUUCUCUGAUGAAGAGUGAAACAAAACACCGCUCUGAAAACGCAGCGAUGGUGCAUGUAUUAGCUCUAGAAUUCCUACGGUUAUCCACGUAGCGCCGCAUGAUCAAAUAAACUAUAACUGUUGUAAUGAGCCAUUCGCAGUUUCACGGUACAAAAUCGUUCGUACUGAGACAUGCAUGGCUUAAUCCUUAAGACAAGCAUAUGACUACUGGCAGGAUCAACCAGGUAUCUACCAUCCAACAGCGCGGGCCGCUUUCUUCUCUUUCUUAUAUAUAAUUUUUCUAUGGAAGAAAACCAAGAGAUCCGCCCAUGCGCCUUUCCGUCUUGCGAAGAGGAAGAAAAAAAAAAAAAUUCAGAACCAACAGGCCAAACCUUGUUUUUUUAUUUUCGCUCACCAAAAAACCGUCAGAGUUUCCCCCGACGACCAUCUCUAUUCAUGUUCAAAGAAGGGAGGGGAUUUUCCAUUGCUUUGCAGAUGAUAACACUAUCUUCCUUUUGCCACUUUGGCUUUGUUUAUGUUUCAAAGAUUCCUUGACGUCCCGGCCGGAGCAAAGAAAACGAAAUUCUCCUUUCCGUUUUCUCUCUUCCCACGACCGCCCCAAGGAGGGCAUUACCAACGAGUAUCAGACCAGAAGUCCCAAGAUGGUAUAGUGUCUACAGAUGUUCUCCCUUGUCGUUAGAAUCUACAGAUACUAUACCUACCCUAGUGAAUCCUCCUAGCCUUUAGAAUUGUCUUCUUUAUGUUAUCUUUCUCUUUCCUGAAAAAGAGAAAAAUACAUAAAGAUAAUUCAUACGCUUUUUUUUUUUACAUAUCUAUAAAAAAAAAAAAAGAAUUAAACACCGUCCCCCCACCUUUUGAUCUUGGAAAAUCAAAGAAGGCAGGUCGAUGUUUUCUAACAAGCAUCACUCACUUCCCGUGCAAGACUAGUAAGUCAAGUCUUCGCAUUCCAAUCGACACACCAGGAAUCCAAGAAAAUGGAAAAAUACCAAACCAUUUCUUGACAAAUCAGCACUCUCUCCUAUGCCCCUGUAAUUCCUACAGGACCAAGAGCAUCCAACGCAAUCUUAAGGUCUCUUCAUUCUCCAAUUCUCCUCGUCUUAAAAUUUUUGAGAAAAAAAAAAAAAAAAAAAAAGACAAGAGAACCGGAGAAGACAUCACUUCUGACGCCUAAAAGCGCAAUGAAGUGAGAAGUAAGGCCUCUUAAAAAAAUAAAAAUUAAGGAGAGAAGCUAAAAUAUACUCUCUCUCCAUCCACCCACCCAUCACAUUUACUCCUCUUUGGUUUUUUUUCCUUCAUAAAUAACCGAAAACAUUUUUAACCUCA